rnacentral:rRNA from 1 species
UCACGCUGUAAACGAUGUCGAUUGGAGGUUGUUCCCUUGAGGAGUGGCUUCCGGAGCUAACGCGUUAAAUCGACCGCUGGGGAGUACGGCCGCAAGGUUAAAACUCAAAUGAAUUGACGGGGGCCCGCACAAGCGGUGGAGCAUGUGGUUUAAUUCGAUGCAACGCGAAGAACCUUACCUACUCUUGACAUCCAGAGAAUUUAGCAGAGAUGCUUUAGUGCCUUCGGGAACUCUGAGACAGGUGCUGCAUGGCUGUCGUCAGCUCGUGUUGUGAAAUGUUGGGUUAAGUCCCGCAACGAGCGCAACCCUUAUCCUUUGUUGCCAGCACGUUAUGGUGGGAACUCAAAGGAGACUGCCGGUGAUAAACCGGAGGAAGGUGGGGAUGACGUCAAGUCAUCAUGGCCCUUACGAGUAGGGCUACACACGUGCUACAAUGGCGUAUACAAAGAGAAGCGACCUCGCGAGAGCAAGCGGAACUCAUAAAGUACGUCGUAGUCCGGAUUGGAGUCUGCAACUCGACUCCAUGAAGUCGGAAUCGCUAGUAAUCGUAGAUCAGAAUGCUACGGUGAAUACGCUCCCGGGCCUUGUACACACCGCCCGUCACACCAUGGGAGUGGGUUGCAAAAGAAGUAGGUAGCUUAACCUUCGGGAGGGCGCUUACCACUUUGUGAUUCAUGACUGGGGUGAAGUCGUAACAAGGUAACCA